rnacentral:misc_RNA from 1 species
GAUGAAGAACGCAGCGAAAUGCGAUAAGUAAUGUGAAUUGCAGAAUUCAGUGAAUCAUCGAAUCUUUGAACGCACAUUGCGCCCCUUGGUAUUCCGGGGGGCAUGCCUCUUCCAGCGUCAUUUGAAACCUCAAGCUCAGCUUGGUGUUGGGUGUCUGUCCCCGCCUCCGCGGGGACUCGCCUCAAAAUCAUUGGCGGCCGGUACGUUGGCUUCGAGCGCAGCAGAAACGCGAACUCGAGGCCCGGCGGAUCGGCGACCAGAAGUCUCUUCUUCACAGUUUGACCUCGGAUCAGGUAGGGAUACCCGCUGAACUUAAGCAUAUCAAUAAGCAGAGGA